GACGAACGCUGGCGGCGUGCCUAAUACAUGCAAGUUGAGCGCUGAAGGUUGGUACUUGUACCAACUGGAUGAGCAGCGAACGGGUGGGUAACGCGUGGGGAAUCUGCCUUUGAGCGGGGGACAACAUUUGGAAACGAAUGCUAAUACCGCAUAAAAACUUUAAACACAAGUUUUAAGUUUGAAAGAUGCAAUUGCAUCACUCAAAGAUGAUCCCGCGUUGUAUUAGCUAGUUGGUGAGGUAAAGGCUCACCAAGGCGAUGAUACAUAGCCGACCUGAGAGGGUGAUCGGCCACAUUGGGACUGAGACACGGCCCAAACUCCUACGGGAGGCAGCAGUAGGGAAUCUUCGGCAAUGGACGAAAGUCUGACCGAGCAACGCCGCGUGAGUGAAGAAGGUUUUCGGAUCGUAAAACUCUGCUGGUAGAGAAGAACGUUGGUGAGAGUGGAAAGCUCAUCAAGUGACGGUAACUACCCAGAAAGGGACGGCUAACUACGUG
rnacentral:rRNA from 1 species